UUUGGGUUGUCCGUCAAGAAUGCUGUGGUAUAGAGCAAGUCACAGUCAGUGAAUUGUUGUAUCACUAGGAAGCAGUGUUUUGUAUAUAUGUUCUAAAUAGAACACUUCCUAAGAAAGAAUCUGCAGUAUGAAUUAUAUGACAUUACUAAAGCAAUUUACCCAUCAAGUGUACUAUACAGGGCAUAGUUGUUGAAGGUGCAGGCCUCAGCACCUCAGCCAACAAAAGGCAGGCAACAUAUUCCAACUGCAUAGGCACAUUAAAGGUGGACCUCAACAUCUUUCUGCCUCCUUUCUAAAUUGAUUUGAUCUCACAAUAAAAUUUUGGCACGAGAGAGGGCUUACCAUGCUCUCAAUAACGCUGGAAAAAAAAAAAGAUUGGAAAAAGAGGGCAAGAAAGCAGUGACCCCGCAAAGAUCCCUUCUGGUAGGGAAUAAGUGUUGCAUCUUUUACUCAGGCAUCUCAACUCUCUCUCUCUCAGUUUCUCCUAACCUAGUUUUUUUUCCUGGUUCUUUCUCCCUUCCUGCUUAUAGCCCCUUGCCCCCAUUCCAUCAACUCUUUUUUCCGUUUUUUUUUCCCUUGUGUUAUCCCUUUUCACAUUUUGUUCUAGUUCACCACACACCAAAUCACAAAUCCUCAACACACCCAAGUCGCAACAGAUUCAAUCAAUACACAUGCAACAGAUUUGAUGUUCAAAACACAAAACAGAAAAGUUGAUAACGCUAUUUGAAGAGUUUAUAGGCAAUGAUACCUAAAUCUCAAAUUCAAACAGCAUCUCGACUUAGCCAUUUUAAGAUUUGAUGGUGAAGAAGACUGAAGACGAAGUAUCCCUCCAUGCAUGAAGAGCAAAGAUUGAAUUGAAGAUGGUGGUGAUAGCGCUACGAGUGCUUGUUGCAUGUGAAGAAGAAGAGGAAGAUGAAAAAGUCAAAGCAGAGGAGUGCAUCGUGAUUUAGAGAGGAGAGAGGUAGAGAGUUAGGUUGGGGGCUGAAGCAACUAGAAUGGGUUUGGUAGAGUUAGGGUUUCUAAAGUUACAUAUAUAGAGAGAGAUCCAGAACGACAACACUUUAGGGAAUUUGGAAACUGGUUUGGCUUGGUUUGGUUUGGUUCAAAAUGAUUUUCUCACUGAAAAACCGAAGCGAACCGAAAAAUAUAAAAUAUCCAAAAUUAAAAACUGAGCUGAACUGCUCACAAUGAAAAACCGUGCCAAAUGAACCGCAUAGACUCAUUUCGGUUCAGCUUUUUCGUUUGGACCGGAAUAUGCUCAGCCCUACGUAUAGAAGAGUGUGAACACAUAUGAAAUGUGUAUCAGUAUAUGAAAAAGUAGCAAUUAGUGAAACUGUGAAAGUAAAAUUGUGUGUGAAAUAAGGGAGUAGUGACAUGUAUAUUCUUUUACAUAAACUUGUUUGAAUAUGAAAUAUUGAGUUUGCAAUUCCAAUUUACCCUUUUAAGGUUAUUUGAUCAUGGUGUCGAUAUGUAUGAGCUUUGAUAUGUGCAACAUAUACAUAUAAAACCCAGCCCCAAUGGAUAAGGCUGCAGCAGGUGAUAACCAGCUUAGAAUUUGUCAUAUCUUAUAAGUCAUAUAGAUAAAACUAAUAUUUGGGAUUAAGACUCCACCAAGUUAAGUUGCAUUGCAUAAUUUAUAAAAUUAAAAAACAGGAAAAGUUAAGAAAAAUUCCCUAUGGUUAAGCACUUUGGAAAUUAAGGUGGACCGAAAUUUCUUGCAUCAGAGUACUACUAUUUAAAUAUGUAAUUCAUUACUUCAAAAUUUCUAUGCGAGAAACUAAACUGGCAAUUGUUAAACUGUCUUGUUCUCAUAGCUCCUUCAUU
rnacentral:misc_RNA from 1 species